UCUAAAGAGGAGGGCAAGUUACCACACUGUUCACUGGUGACUAGCCCACAGCAAGUCACCGGAUCUCAUUCCCCCAAAUCCCGCUUCCCACCUCCACACGCAGCCACGGCUCCACCUCCGCCGCCGGCCACGGCUCCACCUCACCAUUCCUCCCCUACCUCCGGCCACUUCUUCCCCACCCCCCCUCAGCCUCCACCGACCCUUUGACCAAGCCGCCCCCUCCCGCCACCGUCCGACAGCCGCUACUCCACCUCCACCGCCGGUCACGACCCUACUUCACUGCCUCCAUUGCCGGCCAGCACUUCACCUCCACCCCCCUUCCGCAUCCGAUCUAGAUACGUCUCCCCUCCCCCCUUUCCCUCCGCCUCCACCAAACCCUAGACCAACCACAAGCAGUCGCUGCCACCACUUGUCCCCGCUUCAAGUAUCUCUCCGGCACCACACAGUCGCUGCUUCAAGGGUAGUGAAGACACGUCGAGGACGCGCAAGAUGAUGAUUGCCUCAUCCAUCAUGAUGACAACACCUCUAUGGCCAAUGGAAGUGGUCACGUUGCCCAGCCUGAUGAGAACAACCAUAUGGUUUAUGAGAAAGAAGAUGAUGACCUCGUCCAUCGUGAUGACAACACCUCUAUGGCCAAUGAAAGUGAUCUCGUUGCCCAGCCUGAUGAGCACAACCAGAUGGUGAAUGAGGAAGGUGAUGACAACCAGUUCUUCAAUUGCUAUUUUUGACUUUAAUCUACAUUUGAUAAUGACAUGAAAUUCUAGAAUCUGAAUUCAGUAAUUCAAUCAUAUAUGCUUAAUCUAAAUCCUAAUUUCAGACCCCGUUGAUUGCAUCUUGCAUGUAGAUUAUGAAUUUAGCAAUUCUAUCAUGUAUGCUUAAUUUUGUGAACAUUUGUUCUUGAUAUCCUUCAAAGUCAUGGUUAUGGCUGGAC